AUUGAACGCUGGCGGCAGGCCUAACACAUGCAAGUCGAACGAGUGGCGGACGGGUGAGUAAUGUCUGGGAAACUGCCCGAUGGAGGGGGAUAACUCCUGGAAACGGUAGCUAAUACCGCAUACCAUCGGAUGGGCCCAGAUGGGAUUAGCUAGUAGGUGGGGUAACGGCUCACCUAGGCGACGAUCCCUAGCUGGUCUGAGCGGAUGACCAGCAACAUUGGGACGGGGAUACGGACCGAACUCCUACGGGAGGCAGCAGUGGGGAAUAUUGCACAACGGGGGAAACCGUGAUGCAGCAACGCCGCGUGCGGGAUGACGGCCAUCGGUUUGUAAACCGCUUUCAGCCAUGACGCGGUAGUGGCAGAAGAAGCACCGGCUAACUCCGUGCCAGCAGCCGCGGUAAUUC
rnacentral:rRNA from 1 species